rnacentral:ncRNA from 1 species
UGGUAAUCCUGCUCAGUACGAGAGGAACUGCAGGUUCAGACAUUUGCCGCUUGGCUGAGGAGUCAAUGGUGCAAAGCUACCAUCUGUGGGAUUAUGACUGAACGCCUCUAAGUCAGAAUCCCGCCUAGA